UACGGAAGGCAGCAGUGGGGAAUAUUGCACAAUGGGCGCAAGCCUGAUGCAGCCAUGCCGCGUGUAUGAAGAAGGCCUUCGGGUUGUAAAGUACUUUCAGCGGGGAGGAAGGCGGUGAAGUUAAUAGCUUCACCGAUUGACGUUACCCGCAGAAGAAGCACCGGCUAACUCCGUGCCAGCAGCCGCGGUAAUACGGAGGGUGCAAGCGUUAAUCGGAAUUACUGGGCGUAAAGCGCACGCAGGCGGUCUGUUAAGUCAGAUGUGAAAUCCCCGGGCUUAACCUGGGAACUGCAUUUUGAAACUGGCAGGCUUGAGUCUCGUAGAGGGGGUAGAAUUCCAGGUGUAGCGGUGAAAUGCGUAGAGAUCUGGAGGAAUACCGGUGGCGAAGGUCGGCCCCUGGGACGAAGACUGACGCUCAGGGUGCGAAAGCGUGGGGAGCAAACAGGGAUUAGGAUACC
rnacentral:rRNA from 1 species